GGAGUCGGCCGGGCAGCCGCUGCGUCGCGUGUAGGCGUAGAGGAAAGUCCGGGCUCCAUAGGGCAGGGUGCCAGGUAACGCCUGGGGGGCGCGAGCCCACGGAAAGUGCCACAGAAAAUAUACCGCCUACGCACCUACGGGUGCCGGUAAGGGUGAAAUGGUGCGGUAAGAGCGCACCGCGUUCGGUGGCAACACCGGCGGCACGGUAAACCCCACCCGGAGCAAGACCAAAUAGGGGGGCAAUGGUGCGGCCCGCACGGCUCCCGGGUAGGUCGCUUGAGGUGCGCGGUGACGCGCAUCCCAGAGGAAUGGCUGUCCUCGACAAAACCCGGCUUACAGGCCGACUCCGCUC
rnacentral:RNase_P_RNA from 1 species